AAAAAAGUCAUUUUAUUUCACUCAGGUUUGAUAUCAGCCGUUCAUUCAUAUCAAUUUCAUUCAUUCUUUCAUUCAAUGGAUUUAUUAAAUUAGUGAAACGGUUUUCAGUUUCAAAACUGUAUACCCUUUCACCUUACCUUCUUCCUUUUCUCCUUCUCUCAGCCGUUUCUAGGUUUCAAGUCGUUUAAAACCUUUUCUCAGACACACUGCUUUUCCGUGUCUGCCUCUGAUUUCAGCACCUCCUCGACACCCUCCCUCGCCCUUCCCCGUGCCCUUAACCUAGCAGCGCCGCUGCUCACAUGAGAGAGAGAGAGAGAGAGAAUUGAACACGAACACGAUGGUGUCUCUGCGGUUCGGGGCGGUGAACACGAUGGAGAUUGGGGAGCUCUGAUCUUCAAUCAGUUUCACCACCAUAUCUCUCCAUCUGCGAGCGACUACAAGGGAAUUUGCUUUAGCAAUACUGAGAGGCUUGGCUUGGAGGGUUUACCUGUUGUCAUCUCUUUUUGGUCUUCUCGCACAGCAAAAUGUUGAUGUGGCUGCUGAAAAGCUCAGGGCUCGGGAAAAGGGAAUUUAAGUCUUGGUGGAUGUUUGCCAUGUUUUUAUUGCUCAACAAAAGGAAGAUUUUGAUUAAAAGGGCUGUUUUGUGAGAAGGUGGAAGAUUGAAAGAGAAGGAAAGGGGACAGAGUGUUUGUUGAGAGGCGUUCAUCAAAAUCCUCAUCUUCAACACCGGAAAAUGACAUGCUAGAUUACCUUUUCUCUAGAUAGUUAGGUUGGGAACUUGGGAUUCUAUAUCUGGAGAAGACCAUUCUAUUUCACUGGAGGGGAAAGUUUUUUUCAAGCCUUGGCGCUACCUUUGAUCUUGAUAUAACUCAGGGAUAAGCAUUAAGUCCCUUGCAAAAGUAGUUGGAUAAUAGAAAUACUUAUGUGCUUUCAUCCAACAGUAGAAGGGUAACGGUAAACAUAUUUUUGUCAAAAGUACUGUGACAUUUCGUUGACCUAACUAUCUUUUUAGAUGUACAGUUGCAAAAUGCAUUUGAAGCUGUAAUGUAGAUGUGAUGAUGAAUACUACCACUAAUAGAAGAAUUGGAGUGAAGUCAUUGUUGAGUUCCUAUAGGAGUACUGAUGUAUUAUAGGAAAGGAAGAUAUGAUACUAGCGCAUUUGAUUGUGCUUUAUAGUGAAUAUGAAGUAAAAAGAUGGAAGACUUUUACACUAGCAUUUCUAUAUCUGACUUUUACACUA